rnacentral:rRNA from 1 species
AUUGAACGCUGGCGGCAGGCUUAACACAUGCAAGUCGAGCGGGGUGAUGGUGCUUGCACUAUCACUUAGCGGCGGACGGGUGAGUAAUGCUUAGGAAUCUGCCUAUUAGUGGGGGACAACAUCUCGAAAGGGAUGCUAAUACCGCAUACGUCCUACGGGAGAAAGCAGGGGAUCACUUGUGACCUUGCGCUAAUAGAUGAGCCUAAGUCGGAUUAGCUAGUUGGUGGGGUAAAGGCCUACCAAGGCGACGAUCUGUAGCGGGUCUGAGAGGAUGAUCCGCCACACUUGGACUGAGACACGGCCCAGACUCCUACGGGAGGCAGCAGUGGGGAAUAUUGGACAAUGGGGGGAACCCUGAUCCAGCCAUGCCGCGUGUGUGAAGAAGGCCUUAUGGUUGUAAAGCACUUUAAGCGAGGAGGAGGCUCUUUUGGUUAAUACCCAAGAUGAGUGGACGUUACUUAGGAGACGAAGCAUCGGCUAACUCCGUGCCAGCCGCCGCGGUAA